rnacentral:rRNA from 1 species
GGACGAACGCUGGCGGCGUGCCUAACACAUGCAAGUCGAGCGAGGAGAUCCUUCGGGAUGAUCCUAGCGGCGGACGGGUGAGUAACACGUGGGCAACCUGCCUCAUAGAGAGGAAUAGCCUUCCGAAAGGGAGAUUAAUACCUCAUAACAUUGCAGUUUCGCAUGGAACAGCAAUUAAAGGAGUAAUCCGCUAUGAGAUGGGCCCGCGGCGCAUUAGCUAGUUGGUGAGGUAACGGCUCACCAAGGCGACGAUGCGUAGCCGACCUGAGAGGGUGAUCGGCCACAUUGGGACUGAGACACGGCCCAGACUCCUACGGGAGGCAGCAGUGGGGAAUAUUGCACAAUGGAGGAAACCCUGAUGCAGCCAACGCCGCGUGAGUGAUGACGGCCUUCGGGUUGUAAAGCUCUGUCUUCAGGGACGAUAAUGACGGUACCUGAGGAGGAAGCCACGGCUAACUACGUGCCAGCAGCUGC